rnacentral:rRNA from 1 species
CCUUGUCGUUAGUUGCUACGCGUAACCACUCUAAGGAGACUGCCGGUGACAAAGCGGAGGAAGGUGGCGAUGACGUCAAAUCAUCAUGGCCCUGUAUGGGUACGGCUUCACACGUCAUACAAUGGUCGGAACAGAAGGCUGCCAACCCGUCAGGGGGAGCUGAUCCCAGAAAACCGAUCGUAAUCCGGAUCGUANUCUGCAAAUCGACUACGUAAAACUGGAAUCGCUAGUGGUCGCCUGUCAUCAUGCCGCCGUGAAUGCGUGCCCGGGUCUUGUACACACCGCCCGUCACACCUAUGAGAGUGGGUUUUACCAAGAAGUGGAUAAUCUGACCGCAU